rnacentral:rRNA from 1 species
GAUGAACGCUGGCGGCGUGCCUAAUACAUGCAAGUCGAGCGAACGGACGAGAAGCUUGCGUCUCUGAUGUUAGCGGCGGACGGGUGAGUAACACGUGGAUAACCUACCUAUAAGACUGGGAUAACUUCGGGAAACCGGAGCUAAUACCGGAUAAUAUGUUGAACCGCAUGGUUCAAAAGUGAAAGACGGUCUUGCUGUCACUUAUAGAUGGAUCCGCGCUGCAUUAGCUAGUUGGUAAGGUAACGGCUUACCAAGGCAACGAUGCAUAGCCGACCUGAGAGGGUGAUCGGCCACACUGGAACUGAGACACGGUCCAGACUCCUACGGGAGGCAGCAGUAGGGAAUCUUCCGCAAUGGGCGAAAGCCUGACGGAGCAACGCCGCGUGAGUGAUGAAGGUCUUCGGAUCGUAAAACUCUGUUAUUAGGGAAGAACAUAUGUGUAAGUAACUGUGCACAUCUUGACGGUACCUAAUCAGAAAGCCACGGCUAACUACGUG